UGGGGAAUAUUGGACAAUGGGCGCAAGCCUGAUCCAGCCAUGCCGCGUGAGUGAUGAAGGCCUUAGGGUUGUAAAGCUCUUUCACCGGUGAAGAUAAUGACGGUAACCGGAGAAGAAGCCCCGGCUAACUUCGUGCCAGCAGCCGCGGUAAUACGAAGGGGGCUAGCGUUGUUCGGAUUUACUGGGCGUAAAGCGCACGUAGGCGGACUAUUAAGUUAGGGGUGAAAUCCCGGGGAUCAACACCAGAACUGGCUUUGAUACUGGUAGUGUUGAGUGCGAGAGAGGUGAGUGGAAUUCCGAGUGUAGAGGUGAAAUUCGUAGAUAUUGGGAGGAAAACCAGUGGCGAAGGCGGCUCACUGGAUCGAUACUGACGCUGAGGUGCGAAAGCGUGGGGAGCAAACAGG
rnacentral:rRNA from 1 species